GGUCCUGUAGCUCAGCUGGUAGAGCAAAUGACUCUUAAUCAUUGGGUCCAAGGUUCGAUCCCUUGCGGGACCA
rnacentral:tRNA from 1 species